rnacentral:lncRNA from 1 species
GUCCGUUUUAGACUGUCAGUGCAUUUCAGCUACGCAGAUUGGUGAGAUGGGUGGGAAGAUUUUUUAAAAGGUAGCACAUACCCCCCAAAAAAGCCACAUAUGCAAAAGAAACAAAACUAUUUCUGUACUGUGUGUUUUCUCUUCCCGUUGUUUCCCUUGAGGGCCAAGUGCGCCUAUCUGAUAGCACUGAAUUUUAAAAUAGCUUUUUCUGAAAUGAAAAAUGAGCUGGUAUAUUCAUUCCUCCCUUUCUUUCAUGGAUGCAAGCCUAAAACGCCCAGGGAUGUGCAGAGCAGAAUGCUCCAGCUGCAGCAGGGGAUGAGUCACUGCCACAGUGCCAGAAAGGAAUAUGUUAAUGAGGGAUAGCCCACCUGGACAGAAAAAAAAGCUUGCCUGGAGAGGAGAUAAAACAAGCUGCAGUGCUGAGCAAUAAAAUCUCUGAUGUAUUAAUGGUGACUCCGGUGAGCAAAUAUGAUAAUUGUGAUUCAUCAUAAAUUGCUGAACACUCCCCCCCCCCAGACUGCGUGAUUUUUCUUUGUAUGUGGGCUGUAGCUCAUAAACAUUCCUGGGGUUGCUAUAAUACCGGCUUCAUAGAUCUGCACUAUUGCAGCUGAAGAUGACAUUUUAAAGGCCACUUUUGUUAAAAACAUUAUUUAUUGUUACUAUGCCAUUUUGCUGACUUAAAGAGGCAGGAUUUGGGGAGUUUGUCCUCUCAAAGGUUUUAUGUAGUUUUAUCAUGUCUCAAUAGAUUUAAGAAAAAAAAAUAUUUUUAUGUCAUUUGAAUUGUAAUUCUCUUGUGCUGGUUUUUCCACCAUAGGAUUCUGUUUUUUUUUCCACCGCCAUUUCUGGGAGGUACCUUGUUGGAGUCAGCUUCAACAAGGCUUGGCAGCUUGUUCCAGACUUCCACAACUCUUUGUGUAAAGACGUACCUCCUGGUUUCCCUUCCUGUUUUCUUUGCUGAAGAUAAGGUAAAUCCAACAAGUUAAUUAAUUCUGUUUACCUGUAUCAGGUCUCCCC